CGGAGUGUGGCGCAGCUUGGUUAGCGCACUACCUUGGGGUGGUAGAGGUCGCGGGUUCAAAUCCCGCCACUCCGACCA
rnacentral:tRNA from 1 species